rnacentral:rRNA from 1 species
GACGAACGCUGGCGGCGUGCUUAACACAUGCAAGUCGAACGGAAAGGCCCUGCUUUUGUGGGGUGCUCGAGUGGCGAACGGGUGAGUAACACGUGAGUAACCUGCCCUUGUCUUUGGGGUAAAUUCAGGAAACUGGGGCUCAUACCGGGUAGGAGCUCCUGCAGCAUGGUGGGGGUUGGAAAGUUUUGGCGGUUGUGGAUGGACUCGCGGCUUAUCAGCUUGUUGGUGGGGUAGUGGCUUACCAAGGCUUUGACGGGUAGCCGGCCUGAGAGGGUGACCGGCCACAUUGGGACUGAGAUACGGCCCAGACUCCUACGGGAGGCAGCAGUGGGGAAUAUGGCACAAUGGGCGGAAGCCUGAUGCAGCAACGCCGCGUGCGGGAUGACGGCCUUCGGGUUGUAAACCGCUUUCGCCGGUGACGAAGCGUGAGUGACGGUAAUGGGUAAAGAAGCACCGGCUAACUACGUG